UACGUAGGCAGCGAGCGUUGUUCGGAAUUACUGGGCGUAAAGAGUGUGUAGGCGGUGCUCUAAGUUCGGUGUGAAAUCUCCCGGCUCAACUGGGAGGGUGCGCCGAAAACUGGGGAGCUAGAGUGUGGGAGAGGAAAGUGGAAUUCCUGGUGUAGCGGUGAAAUGCGUAGAUAUCAGGAGGAACACCUGCGGUGUAGACGGCUUUCUGGACCAUAACUGACGCUGAGACACGAAAGCGUGGGUAGCAAACAGG
rnacentral:rRNA from 1 species